AUUCUAACAUCUUGACUCAAGCUAAGGAGGUGUCUACUUCCUGCUGCAAAAGAAUCCAGUGGGGCCAGGAAGGUUAACAUUAACAACUGCCUUAAAGACAAGAUGGGGACUUGGAACAUUACAUUGCCAGUGCCUGGGGCCAAUCCUGUGGAUGGAGAUAUCUUCCAAAAGCAGAGGAGAUUAAUCAUUAUCAGAACAAACCUGCCCUUGGGAAUCCCCUACACAGUACAGAGUUGGACUUCCAGGUUAGAUUCUCAGGAGUUCGUAGCUUGCAGGGAUAUAAACCACCCAGCAAUCCCAUGACCUCUGCAUCUUUUAGAGGGAUGUUUUCUGAUAGCUUCCUUGGAGCAAUUGCUGAUCAUCUACUAUGUCUGGGACAUAAAACUAGAAACUGGGGCCAAGAUGUAUUAAUCUCAGUCCCUGCAUGCAAGAGUUUUACCAUCUAGUUGGGAAGCAAAACAUGCAUUUGACAGUAAACACAGUUUUACAAUGUUAACUGCCAACUCUACUGUCCAGAGCCCACAUGUCUGUGUAGAGGGCAGGGAAAUAUAAGAUGAAGAUAAACUGCAAAAUAAUGUUAGCAGAGAGUGUGGUCAGAUCCAACAUGUGAGAUCAUAAGAGUCACAAUAAGGACAAGAAAUAUUGUUUGAGCUUGAGAAGGAACGUUCUUCACCAAGGAGAAAAAAAGAUGAGAUUGAGACAAAUGUCACUUGGAAAAAGGAAGGGUGGAGACGGAGAUUGCACAUUCAGUUUGGUGAAGCUGCACCCUCCCUAUUAGAUUAAUAAUUUUUAAUACCAUCUGGAUGUGCUUCUAUAUACAUUCUUUCACUCUGGGUCCCUGGCACCACCUAUGUCUUGGGUCCUUCCUUUUCACUCUUCAUUUCCACAGAAGCCCUUCAUAUACAAGGUGUGUUCAAAACAAAUGGCAUGAUGAGGGGGAAUGAAAAUGAGCUUGAAUCCCAACUCUCUCACUUGCUGGUUGUGAAAUGGGGAAGAGACUUAACCUCUCUGAACCAGUUUCCUCUGCUGUAAAGCAGUGACCAUGGUAGAGCUAUCAUAAGGAUUCAAUGAGAAGAGGUGUAGAGCCACACACACAGCAACUGGGAGAGUGGUGCUGAAUCAAUGACAGUUAUGAUUAUUUCUGGUAAAGCGUAAAGCUUUGUUAGAAAAGAGGAAAAUGUGACCAGCCAAGGUCUUUCCCCCAGGGCUCCUGCUCUCCAAAGAACCCCGUGAGACGGCAGAGCUACCACGAGAGCUGAUCAAGUGCUCUCAAGUGGCAGGCACUGUGUCUGAGUAUGUGCAGAUCCUAAGUCCCAAAGAUAACUCCGCAGUCCUCAUCCACAGAAACUUAUUGGAAAAAUGGGUCUUUGCAGAUGUGAUUAAGUUAAGGAUCUUGAGAUGGGGAGAUCAUCCUGGAUUAGCUGGGUGGGCCCUAAACACCAUCAAAAGCAUCCUUAUAAGUAAGAGGCAAAGAUAGGCUAGACACACAGAGAGAAGACGACGAUAUGAAAAUGGAGGCAGAGAUCAGAGUGAUGCAGCCACAGCCAAGGAAUGCUGGCAGAUACCAGAACCUGGAAGAGUCAAGGAAUGGCCCCUCCCUUAGAACCUCCAGAGGCAUUGUGGCCCUGACAACACAUGCAGUUCAGACAUCUGGCCUCCAAAACUGGGGGAGAAUAAAUUGCUGUUGUUUG
rnacentral:lncRNA from 1 species